UACGUAGGGUGCGAGCGUUAAUCGGAAUUACUGGGCGUAAAGUGUGCGCAGGCGGCCGAGCAAGUCGAGUGUGAAAGCCCCGAGCUUAACUUGGGAACUGCGCUCGAAACUACUUGGCUAGAGUGUGGCAGAGGGAGGUGGAAUUCCACGUGUAGCGGUGAAAUGCGUAGAGAUGUGGAGGAACACCGGAUGGCGAAGGCAGCCUCCUGGGCCAACACUGACGCUCAUGCACGAAGCGUGGGAGCAACAGG
rnacentral:rRNA from 1 species